rnacentral:rRNA from 1 species
CCUACGGGAGGCAGCAGUAGGGAAUCUUCCACAAUGGACGAAAGUCUGAUGGAGCAACGCCGCGUGAGCGAUGAAGGCCUUCGGGUCGUAAAGCUCUGUUGUUAGGGAAGAACAAGUACCGGAGUAACUGCCGGUACCUUGACGGUACCUAACCAGAAAGCCACGGCUAACUACGUGCCAGCAGCCGCGGUAAUACGUAGGUGGCAAGCGUUGUCCGGAAUUAUUGGGCGUAAAGCGCGCGCAGGCGGUCCUUUAAGUCUGAUGUGAAAGCCCCCGGCUCAACCGGGGAGGGUCAUUGGAAACUGGGGAACUUGAGUGCAGAAGAGGAGAGCGGAAUUCCACGUGUAGCGGUGAAAUGCGUAGAGAUGUGGAGGAACACCAGUGGCGAAGGCGGCUCUCUGGUCUGUAACUGACGCUGAGGCGCGAAAGCGUGGGGAGCGAACAGGAUUAGAUACCCUGGUAGUCCACGCCGUAAACGAUGAGUGCUAAGUGUUAGAGGGUUUCCGCCCUUUAGUGCUGCAGCAAACGCAUUAAGCACUCCGCCUGGGGAGUACGGCCGCAAGGCUGAAACUUAAAGGAAUUGACGG